rnacentral:tRNA from 1 species
AUUAGUUGAAACCAAAUAGAGGUAUAUCACUGUUAAUGAUAAAAUUGAAAUAAUAAAUUCCAAUUAA